CCAUACAUGUUACGAUUUGUCGCAUUUCAGACUUGUCGUACGAUAGAUUUUAUGCAAGUUCAAACUUCAUCUCGUCGUACUACACGUUGUACAACAAUACCAUACACGUUACGAUAAUCGUUUGUGAAAUCGUAUCAAACAAAGUUGUACAAUCUGUUGUACGAUUAAUUGUAUCGUGUAUGGGCCGCUUAAUUGCCAAUUUAUUGGCGAUACGUCCGGUGUUGUACCUCAGUAAUUUAUUGGAGUGAUGGAAAAUACGUUUUUAGGCUUUUAGCGCACAUGAUGUGUGACCGGUGACGACAGACGACAUAUUAUUUCAUUUGACUUUGGACGCUCAGCGAGCAAAAUAGAUAAGAUAAGAUAUUCCAAAAAAAAAUUAGCAGGCCAAACAUCGUGAGUAGAUUUAUACAAAGUACAAAUUCUGGACCAAUACUAAAAGGUGUAUCGCCUAAACACGAUUUCCGGGUGUUAUCGAUGUCAAGAAAUUAGGCACAUAGUCCGGGAUUGUCUUAGUGAGUGUGCCUUAACCACGACCACUUUUAUUGUGUUAUUAUUUUCCUACCUCUCCUUCCCCCUACUUUUCAACAGCCACCGCAUGGUCAGCCACCACCACUACCAACAACAACAGCAAGAGUACCAAUGCAGGCAUGCGGCAAAUGACAAUGUCCAACAGUGGACCGUGGCCACCAAGACUGACAGAAUUCCUUGCAAUAAAACUAAUUAUAUCAAUUUUAUGAAUUGUAGUCUAUGUCAGUCCAUUAUGGUGAUGGGGACGACAUCAUUACUAUCUCUCCGUUCAUUUUUCACCAUCACAGCAUUUUCUAAUUGAUUCAGAAGAAAAUAUUAGAUUUGCCCGCUAGUCAACAAACAGAAAUUUACCUUGAAACGGGUGCCUUUAUCUGAUCCUUUGAAACUAUAUGGUCCACUGUAAUGGAAAAAGACAGUUAAAGGUUUUGAACCAAAAAUCCAUCCAUUUACUCAAAAUCAAGUAAGAAUACAGAAAAAAGAAUUUGAUUUUAAUGAAAAUUCUCCAGUGUUGUAUAUUUGGGAAGUCUUCACAUAACACCAAAUCUCAUGUGAAUGAAUGUAUUUGAAACCAAUCAUACGUAUAACAAUAACCAACUUCUUCAGAGGACCACUUCAGGUGUAAUGACAACAAAAUAUAGAAGAAGGAAACUGAUGGACACUACAAGAAAGCGCUUACAACCAGACACUUGGACUUUCCAGAACUUGUUAUAUUUUCUCAUUACAACUAUUAUUUAAUUUCUCUUAUAUUUUUUUUUUUUUAUUUGAUUACAAAUUCAAUGUUUUUUUUUCAUUAUUAUUAUCUUAUACUUAUGUAUUUUAUCCUGUUUUAUUUUAUUCUUCUUUUGUAACAAAAAUUUUUUUUUUUGUAAUUUUAUCAUAUCUAUGAUAAUAUAUUUUUUAAUGUUCACACU